GCUCAUGUUGUCUCUUAGUCCAGUUUGC
rnacentral:sRNA from 1 species